rnacentral:ncRNA from 1 species
UAACUUUGAGGUUGGAAAUGGCACCCAAUACGCUACUUAGUAGUAACCAGAGAUACAGGAUACGCCGCCCUGUCAAGGUUG